UAACAGACUCAUGCUUUCAGGACUGAAUCAUACUGCUUGGAUAUACUAUUCUCUCGAACAAUGAAACUAUGGUUGGAAUUGUUGGUUUUUGCAUUAGUUAUUGCUGAAUGUAGACCAGAGGAUACAGUUGUUCAGCCAGAUAAACAUGUAACUGCAACAACACCAGAACUCUUCUGGUACAUCCAGAGAGCAAAUGACAUUCCUAAAUACAUGCUGAGGAAAAACAAAUAUGGAGGAGAUCAGGGCACUGAGUUCCAGGAGAGAUUUCACUCUGAAGUAUCAUCAGAUUCAGUUCCUCUGUUAAUCAAGAAUCUGCGUGUGUCUGACUCUGCUGUGUACUACUGUGCUCUGCAGCCCACUGUGACUGAAACCAACUCAGCUCUUACACAAAAACUUUCAUCAGUGCUGAUCACUAUUGUGUGAUAGAAUUAUCCAUUUAUUUCUUCAUUUAUUG